rnacentral:rRNA from 1 species
CGCGUAGGCGGGAUGGCAAGUCGGUCGUGAAAUCCUUCGGCUCAACCGAAGAACGUCGAUCGAUACUGCUGUUCUUGAGGGUUGCAGAGGAGACUGGAAUUCCCGGUGUAGCGGUGAAAUGUGUAGAGAUCGGGAGGAACACCGGUGGCGAAGGCGGGUCUCUGGGCAAUUCCUGACGCUGAGGCGCGAAAGCGUGGGGAGCAAACG